rnacentral:piRNA from 1 species
AUCGGUGAGAGGCUCUGGGCUGCGGCGCC